AGCGAACGCUGGCGGCAGGCUUAGCACAUGCAAGUCGAGCGGGCAUCUUCGGGUGUCAGCGGCGGACGGGUGAGUAACGCGUGGGAACGUGCCCUCUGGUUCGGAAUAACUCAGGGAAACUUGAGCUAAUACCGGAUACGCCCUUUUGGGGAAAGGCUUGCUGCCGGAGGAUCGGCCCGCGUCUGAUUAGCUAGUUGGUGAGGUAACGGCUCACCAAGGCGACGAUCAGUAGCUGGUCUGAGAGGAUGAUCAGCCACACUGGGACUGAGACACGGCCCAG
rnacentral:rRNA from 1 species